AUGGUUGAUCAACGAUGAAGAAUCAUUUUAGGAUUAAACGAUCAAUACGAUUGACAUUUAACCUAGUGCAAGUGUUGCAGGAGGAUCGAUUAGCAAUUCGAUUAUUAAUUGGCUUAAUUUGAUUAAGCCAAUAGAUUGAGAUUAAGUCUAAUUGAAUAUGAUUUAAUUAAAUUUGGUUUGGGCUUGAUUGGAUCAAGUCCAAUUGGUUUAUUGGAUAAGCCAA
rnacentral:lncRNA from 1 species